ensembl:antisense Gm14206 predicted gene 14206
AGAGCCCUUCUCUGAUCCUGAGACUUCCUGUCACUGGAGCACUGGUCUCUGGCCUCUGUGUCACCACUCUUUUGAGCUGGGAGGGGGUGGGGCAGAAGCAAAGACACAAUGGAUGAAGAUGACGCAAAGGGACUGUCCAUAUGGAAAAGAAGACCCACAGACAACAUGGGGAAACCACUCACACAGCGAGUGUGUGGAGGCUGAGCCGAGCUUGUGAACCACGUCAGCAGUGGGCAAGGAGAAGACAGGCAAAGGUUGCUUCGGUCACGGUGUUCCAUCACAGCAAUAGAAACCCUAACAAAUCCAGGACGGAUGCUUCGUGUCACCCAGGAGUUAGGAGUGAAAACUGAGGUGACCAAGGAGCCCUUUGACAUUGGCAAAGGUUUCUUCUCAGCCUUUGUUCCAGUCACUUCCCACAUGUUCUGCAAGCCCAGACAUUCCCCAGAGGGGUUCCAGGAAGCUCUCUCUCCACAAAGCUCUCCCUGGAAGCAGCCUGGAUCCCAGCGAGGCGGGGGAAGCACUUUGUCAUGUAGACGGCUGUGGAAGAAGUGAACGGAAGCCAUCAGCAGAUUCUGCCUUGCCUGGCCCAGGGGACUGUAGAUCCUGGUUCUCAGGCCUGACACCCCAUAGACACCACCCUGAAAGCUCUAGAGCAGCCUGUGGGUCAUGACCCCCCCUUUUGGUGUGUGUGUGUGUGUGUGUGUGUGUGUCACCUAUUAGCUAUCCUGCAUUUCCAAUACAUACAUUAUGAUUCAUAA